UGCGCGUUCAUGUGAGGCGAGACAUUUUUGAAAACUUGUUUCAAGACACAGGAGAUGUCGGGUUGAAAUAUUAAUGAUGUUUCACGUUAAAAAUGGACCAAAAGAUUGAUGCUAAACAACGUUUGACAUGUUUGAACGAACGUAAAUAGAUUUUUUUUUAACUUUUCGUCGUGACUUUUCCCUCCCAUUUUGAGUAGCCUACCGAACGCGCUAACAACACGGAACAGCAUGGAGUUAUUUGGACAUAAAUUAUGAACUUCAUCGAAAAAAAAAAAACAUUUGUUGUGGACCUGAGAUUCCUGGAAGUGCCUUCUGAUGAAGAUUAUUAAAGCAUAUCGUCAUCCCCUCCUCCUAAGCCCGUAGUAGACGGUCGUCACUAUCUAACACCAUUACCAUGGCAGCCAGCAACACCAAGAGGCUUCAAGCUGGCAGAGCCCACAUCUAUACAGUUUAGACCCAAUGAUUCAUCUGACAAACAAAUAACUUUUCGUGCUGCCGGCCCAGGCAUGGAUCAAAGCUGGCGAGACAUUCAAUGACGUCAUCUUCACAGACGAAUCAACUGUGGCCCUUGAGCAAUUUGCUCAAAAUUGCUACAGAAAAUAACGAAAAAGAUCAAGCAUCCCUCAAACUCUAUAUUAUAUUUUUUUUAUGGUAUCUUGGCUCCAGAUUUCUUUGGGGGAGAAAUCAUCAAGAGAUAUGCUGGACCCUAUGUCAGAGAGGUGUUUCUGGGACCACAUUGUUUCUUUCAAAGUAGGAUUAUAGCAAUAUUUUGUUAUGUUUAGGCCUAUUUACAUGUAUAUUUCUAGUAUUGUACCUAAUGUUGGCUGGUAGGCUAAAUGUCUUUUAUGUAUGCGGAUGACUCAACACUACAUACAUCAGCUACCACAGCGAGUGAAAUCACUACAACACUUAAAGAGUUGCAGUUCGUUUAAGAAUGGGUGGCAAGGAAUAAGUUAGUCCUAAAUAUUUAAACUAAAAGCAUUAUAUUUGGGACAAAUCAUUCACUAAACCUUAAACCUCAACUAAACCUUGUAAUUAAUAAUGUGGAUAUUGAGUAGGUUGAGGUGACUAAACUGCUUGGAGUAACCCUGGAUUGUAAACUGUAAUGGUAAAAAUAUAUUGAUACAACAGUAGCUAAGAUGGGGAGAAGUCUGUCCAUAAUAAAGCACUGCUCUGCCUUUUUAACAACACUAUCAACAAGACAGAAAAUACAACUUAUUGAACAGCGGGGACUGUGAAGAGCCACAGACACACAUACACAUGAUAAGACACGCACUCUACACAUACGUACACAUGGAUUUUGUGUUGUAGAUAUGUGAUAGGAGAAUAGUGGCCUGAGGGAACCUAUUUAAAUGUGUUGUGAAAAGUAUUAUGGAAUGUAAUGUCAGGUAAUAUUUUAAAUUGUAUAUCACUCUUGAUGGUACCACUGCUCUUUAAUGAGCUUUACGUUUCCGUGAGGCCGAUACGUAAAGCUUAUUAAAGAGCAGUGAUACUAGCAAUAGCGGUGUGAGGGUUUUUUCUUUUUUCUCAUUUUAUUCAACUGUUACCAUGCACCUGCAAAAACAGUGCCUUUUGAAUUUUAAAUUGUAUACUGUAUAACUGCCUUAAUGUUGCUGGACCCCAGCAGCUAAUGGGGAUACAUAAUAAUUACAAAGAGUGUGCCCUGUUUAGCUGUCUUAAUGCAAUAACUUACUUAGGCCUAUAUGUCAAUAUAUAGGCUACUGUAUCAGUCGAUCAAUCAUUCAUUUGUUCAUGUCAUCACAGCAUACGAGUCACGCUUUGAAAUGCAAUUAAGCAUUUUAGUUUUAAAAUUAAAUAACAAAGGGAGCCUUGAAUAAUUAGCCAACAUUUUGUAUAAACUGCAACAUGUUGGCAAUUGCAUUCACAAAUGCAUGCGACUCAGGGCCAGCAUUAUGGGCGGGCCUUAGGGGGCCUGGCCUGCCCUACCAUACCUCCCGG
rnacentral:lncRNA from 1 species